rnacentral:rRNA from 1 species
GAUGAACGCUGACAGAAUGCUUAACACAUGCAAGUCUACCUGAACUUCGGUUUGGGUGGCGGACGGGUGAGUAACGCGUAAAGAACUUGCCUCACAGUUAGGGACAACAUUUGGAAACGAAUGCUAAUACCUGAUAUUAUGAUUUUAGGGCAUCCUAGGAUUAUGAAAGCUAUAUGUGCUGUGAGAGAGCUUUGCGUCCCAUUAGCUAGUUGGAGAGGUAACGGCUCACCAAGGCGAUGAUGGGUAGCCGGCCUGAGAGGGUGAACGGCCACAAGGGGACGGAGACACGGCCAUUACUCUUACGGGAGGCAGCAGUGGGGAAUAUUGGACAAUGGACCAAAAGUCUGAUCCAGCAAUUCUGUGUGCAAGAUGACGUUUUUCGGAAUGUAAAGUGCUUUCAGUUGGGAAGAAAAAAAUGACGGUACCAACAGAAGAAGUGACGGCUAAAUACGUG